rnacentral:rRNA from 1 species
GUGGGGAAUAUUGCACAAUGGGCGAAAGCCUGAUGCAGCAACGCCGCGUGAAGGAAGAAGGCCCUUGGGUCGUAAACUUCUGUUCUAAGGGAAGAUAAUGACGGUACCUUAGGAGCAAGUCCCGGCUAACUACGUGCCAGCAGCCGCGGUAAUACGUAGGGGGCGAGCGUUAUCCGGAAUUAUUGGGCGUAAAGAGUACGUAGGUGGUUAUCUAAGCGAGGGGUUUAAGGCAAUAGCUCAACUAUUGUUUGCCCCGCGAACUGGGUGACUUGAGUGCUGGAGAGGAAAGCGGAAUUCCUGGUGUAGCGGUGAAAUGCGUAGAUAUUAGGAGGAACAUCAGUGGCGAAGGCGGCUUUCUGGACAGUAACUGACACUGAGGUACGAAAGUGUGGGGAGCAAACAGGAUUAGAUACCCCUGUAGUCC